GCCGGGAUAGCUCAGUUGGCAGAGCAACGCAUUCGUAAUGCGUAGGUCGUGGGUUCGAUUCCCAUUCCCGGCU
rnacentral:tRNA from 3 species